UAAAAACUGAAUCAGAUGGCUGGGGA
rnacentral:piRNA from 1 species